UAUAUACAUAUAUAUAUAUAUAUGUAAUCUUCUGCUACAGUAAAAGAUGUUAUGGGAGGAGGGGAAGAUGACUUUUCCACAGCCUCAAUUCAAUGUUGCCUUUUCCCAAGGUCAUAGAGUUUUAGUCCAAGGAGGCUUACCUUCAACUUUCCUGGCCAGGACCUCCUUGGGAACCAAGAAGCAGGCCAAGCAGCAGGCCAACACCACAGAUUGCAAUAUUAUUUAUUUAGUAUAUUUUUAUUUCUUAAUUGAUUUAACCAUGGAUAAAAUGGAAAACAGGUAAACAUGGCAUCCUUUGAAUUUUCAAAGAAGAAAAGAAUAAUCAAAGAAAAUAGGGAUCUUCUGGACUGCAGAAUGCUGAUUUAUCUCAACUAUGUCCUUAUCUCCUCUGAAGACCCUGCUCAGCCUGCUGAACUGAUUUGAACUAUCAUCUGGUGCCUAUGCCAAUACCAACUAUUUGCAAAGUUGGAGAAAUACCAAUUUAAGAAGAAUAUAAAAUGCUUGGGACACAUGAUAGGAGAGUGGGAAGAGUGCUUCCAUAUUGGAAUUCCUAUUCAGCAUUUUUUGAGAAGUUUAUGUUUUUUUCUGAAUCCCAAAUCCCAAGAAAAAAAUAAGUCAAGAAAUCAGGAAACAUAAUUAUAAUUCUCCUGUGAUAAUUACAGGUUAAUAAUCAAAACACAAACAUUACUUAUUCAAAGGAAUUCAGUGGAUUUUUUAAAAGAAAGAACAGGAUAAAUCGGCACAUGGAGUUAUGGUUAAGUUUUAAUUUCUUGGAAUUAGGAGAGGAGUAAAUAGGAAAGAAUUGGUCACACUCUUGUACUUGUUGCCAUAUUAUUAGUGUUUGUGGCCCUGUCUUCUGCUAAUAGUGAGUCAUUCUUGCAAACAAAAUUAAUAUUAAAUAUGUUCAUACACAUAUGCUUUAUAUAUAUUCUAUGAGUUCUUUCCCAAGAGCUAUAAGUCUUGAAAGCAAAAUACGUCCUGAAAUUGUCUGUUUUGACACCUAACUCUCUGUAGUAAUUCUCUCUUAACUUUGCUAAGAGAUUUUAAUGUUACAUCAUUUUUAAUGUAACAUUUGAAUACUAUCUAAUAAUAUUCACUCACAUUUUCCAGUAUUUGGAUAUUUGCUAUAGACAGUCU
rnacentral:lncRNA from 1 species